AUACUUACCUGGCAGGGGAGAUAGUCACAAAGGUGGUUUUCCCUGGGGGAGGCUUAUUAUCCAUUGCACCCCGGAUGUGUGGACCCCUGUGAUUUCCCCAAAUGUGGGGGACUCGACUGCAUAAUUUGUGGUAGUGGGGGACUGUGUUUGCGCUCUCCCGUG